rnacentral:rRNA from 1 species
GACGAACGCUGGCGGCGUGCCUAAUACAUGCAAGUCGAACGCAGAAGGAGGAGCUUGCUUCUCUGGAUGAGUUGCGCACGGGUGAGUAACGCGUAGGUAACCUGCCUGGUAGCGGGGGAGAACUAUUGGAAACGAUAGCUAAUACCGCAUAAUAGUAGAUGUUGCAUGACAUUUGCUUAAAAGGUGCAAUUGCAUCACUACCAGAUGGACCUGCGUUGUAUUAGGUAGUUGGUGGGGUAACGGCUCACCAAGGCGACGAGUCAUAGCCGACCCGAGAGGGGGGUCGGCCACACUGGGACCGGGGCCCGGCCCAGACUCCUACGGGAGGCAGCCGUAAGGAAACUUCGGCAAUGGACGGAAGUCUGACCGAGCAACGCCGCGUGGGGGGAGAAGGUUUUCGGAUCGUAAAGAUCUGUUGUAAGGGAAGAACGAGUGUGAGAGUGGAAAGUUCACACUGUGACGGUAUCUUACCAGAAAGGGACGGCUAACUACGUG